rnacentral:rRNA from 1 species
GACAGAGGAUGCAAGCGUUAUCCGGAAUGAUUGGGCGUAAAGCGUCUGUAGGUGGCUUUUAAGUCCGCCGUCAAAUCCCAGGGCUCAACCCUGGACAGGCGGUGGAAACUACCAAGCUGGAGUACGGUAGGGCAGAGGGAAUUUCCGGUGGAGCGGUGAAAUGCGUAGAGAUCCGGAAGAACACCGGUGGCGAAGGCGGCCUGCUGGGCAGUAGCUGACGCUGAUGCGCGACAGCGUGGGAGCAACAGG